AUGAUUCUCCGUUGUCUCACUCUGUUCCGCCGCCACUACAACUCGUCUUCUCCUCUCCGUCUUAACCGUUCAUCUCAAUUUCAGAUCGCGGAUUCUAUUCGACUCACCUCCGAUUCAGUUCGCGUGAAUCGACUUUUUCGUCCGACGGCGUCUUCCUUGAAAGACGAUAAACAGAAAAACCAGAGAAGUUGUUUUCAGAUUGCGAAGAAGGAAUGGAGCAGAGCCGUUGGAUCGGAUGAGUUUGUUACAAAAAUGAAGGGUUGGUUUGUAUGUGAUGCAGGCUGCGAUAAGGUGCAGAUUAUGGGCUGA